CCUACGGGUGGCAGCAGUGGGGGAUAUUGCACAAUGGAGGGAACUCUGAUGCAGCGACGCCGCGUGAAGGUCAGUGCCCUAUGGGCGUUAAACUUCUUUUGUGCGGGAGCAAUAAUGGUCACGUGUGGCCAGACGAGAGUACCGUACGAAUAAGCAUCGGCUAACUCCGUGCCAGCAGCCGCGGUAAUAAGGGGGAUGCAAGCGUUAUCCGGAUUUAUUUGGUUUAAAGGGAGCGUAGAUGGGUUGUUAAGUCAGUUGUGAAAGUUUGCGGCUCAACCGUAAAAUUGCAAUUGAUACUGGCAGUCUUGAGUACAGUUGAGGUAGGCGGAAUUCGUGGUGUAGCGGUGAAAUGCUUAGAUAUCACGAAGAACUCCGAUUGCGAAGGCAGCUUACUAAACUGCCACUGACAUUGAUGCUCGAAAGUGUGGGUAUCAAACAGGAUUAGAUACCCCUGUAGUC
rnacentral:rRNA from 1 species